GAUGAACGCUAGCGGCAGGCCUAAUACAUGCAAGUCGAACGGUGUCUUCGGACAUAGUGGCGCACGGGUGCGUAACACGUAUGCAACCUACCUUACAUUGGGGGAUAGCCUUUCGAAAGGGAGAUUAAUACCGCAUAAGACAGUAGCUGGGCAUCCAGUAGCUGUUAAAGAUUUAUCGAUGUAGCUGGGCAUGCGUCCAAUUAGUUAGUUGGUGAGGUAAUGGCUCACCAAGACGAUGAUUGGUAGGGGAACUGAGAGGUCAAUCCCCCACACUGGCACUGAGAUACGGGCCAGACUCCUACGGGAGGCAGCAGUAGGGAAUAUUGGGCAAUGGACGCAAGUCUGACCCAGCCAUGCCGCGUGCAGGAAGAAGGCGUUCUGCGUUGUAAACUGCUUUUAUAUAGGAAGAAACGACCCUUGCGAGGGGCAUUGACGGUAUUAUAUGAAUAAGCACCGGCUAACUCCGUGCCAGCAGCCGCCGUAAAAC
rnacentral:rRNA from 1 species